CCAAUAGCGUAUAUUAAAGUUGUUGCAGUUAAAAAGCUCGUAGUUGAAUUUCGGGAUUUGUCAGUUGGUCGGGCUUCACUGUCCGUAUUGACUUGAUGGAUUCUUACCUUCUGAAUAACCAGCAUGCUAUUAAUUUAGUGCGUUGGGGAAGCAGAUCUAUUACCUUGAAAAAAUUAGAGUGCUUAAAGCGAGCUAGUGCUUGAAUAGAUUAGCAUGGAAUAAUAAAAUAGGACGGCAUGGUUCUAUUUUGUUGGUUUCUAGGAUCACCGUAAUGAUUAAUAGGGAUAGUUGGGGGCAUUAGUAUUCAAUUGUCAGAGGUGAAAUUCUUGGAUUUAUUGAAGACUAACUUCUGCGAAAGCAUUUGCCAAGGAUGUUUUCAUUAAUCAAGAACGAAAGUUAGGGGAUCGAAGACGAUCAGAUACCGUCGUAGUCUUAACCAUAAACUAUGCCGACUAGGAAUCGGACGAUGUUAAUUUUAUAAUGACUCGUUCGGCACCUUACG
rnacentral:rRNA from 2 species